rnacentral:tRNA from 1 species
GGUCUCGUGGUGUAGCAGUUAUCACGCCUGCUUUACACGCAGGAGGCCGCCGGUCCGGUCCCGGCCGAGAUCA